GACGUAGGGCGCGAGCGUUGUCCGGAUUUAUUGGGCGUAAAGAGCUCGUAGGCGGCUUGUCGCGUCGACUGUGAAAACCCGCGGCUCAACCGUGUGGUCUGCAGUCGAUACGGGCAGGCUAGAGUUCGGUAGGGGAGACUGGAAUUCCUGGUGUAGCGGUGAAAUGCGCAGAUAUCAGGAAGAACACCCGUGGCGAAAGCGGCUCUCUGGAACGGUACUGACGCUGAGACGCGAAAGCGUGGGGAGCGAACAGG
rnacentral:rRNA from 1 species